UACGUAGGGUGGCAAGCGUUGUCCGGAUUUAUUGGGCGUAAAGGGAGCGCAGGCGGUGACUUAAGUCUGAUGUGAAAGCCCACGGCUUAACCGUGGAGUGUCAUUGGAAACUGAGGGACUUGAGUACAGAAGAGGAGAGUGGAAUUCCACGUGUAGCGGUGAAAUGCGUAGAGAUGUGGAGGAACACCAGUGGCGAAGGCGACUCUCUGGUCUGUUACUGACGCUGAGGUGCGAAAGCGUGGGGAGCGAACAGGAUUAGAUA
rnacentral:rRNA from 1 species